rnacentral:misc_RNA from 1 species
AAGUCGUAACAAGGUUUCCGUAGGUGAACCUGCGGAAGGAUCAUUAACACGUAUCCACGUAUCAACCAAACGGUAACUGUAUCUCCCUAAUAAUUGUGACGCUGUUCGAUCGAAUCAUGGUGGGUAUGUCCUCGUGGCAUGCGAUUUGAUUGAACUGGGGCUUCGAGCUCCAGGUGUUGCGCUUUAUUAGGCUUUUUUCCCAUCAUACCUUUCUCCCUUAAGGUACGAUGGGAAGCUAACAAACCUAUUUCACCCUAACUAUCAACAUUUGACUAAUACUAUUCACUUGGAGAAAUCCAA